rnacentral:tRNA from 1 species
CGGGUUCUUGAUCAGGCGGAUGAUCCAUCGCUGCCGCUGCUGGAACGGGCGAAGUUUUUAGCGAUCACCAGUUCGAAUUUGGAUGAAUUCGU